GACGGAGGAUGCAAGUGUUAUCCGGAAUCACUGGGCGUAAAGCGUCUGUAGGUGGUCCAAUAAGUCAACUGUUAAAUCUUGAGGCUCAACCUCAAAACCGCAGUCGAAACUAUUAGACUAGAGUAUAGUAGGGGUAAAGGGAAUUUCCAGUGGAGCGGUGAAAUGCGUAGAGAUUGGAAAGAACACCGAUGGCGAAGGCACUUUACUGGGCUAUUACUGACACUCAGAGACGAAAGCUAGGGUAGCAAAUGGG
rnacentral:rRNA from 1 species